GAGUUUGAUCAUGGCUCAGAUUGAACGCUGGCGGCAUGCUUUACACAUGCAAGUCGGACGGCAGCACAGAGAAGCUUGCUUCUUGGGUGGCGAGUGGCGAACGGGUGAGUAACAUAUCGGAACGUACCGAGUAAUGGGGGAUAACUAAUCGAAAGAUUAGCUAAUACCGCAUAUUCUCUGAGGAGGAAAGCAGGGGACCUUCGGGCCUUGCGUUAUUUGAGCGGCCGAUAUCUGAUUAGCUAGUUGGUGGGGUAAAGGCCUACCAAGGCGACGAUCAGUAGCGGGUCUGAGAGGAUGAUCCGCCACACUGGGACUGAGACACGGCCCAGACUCCUACGGGAGGCAGCAGUGGGGAAUUUUGGACAAUGGGCGCAAGCCUGAUCCAGCCAUGCCGCGUGUCUGAAGAAGGCCUUCGGGUUGUAAAGGACUUUUGUCAGGGAAGAAAAGGACAGGGUUAAUACCCCCGUCUGAUGACGGUACCUGAAGAAUAAGCACCGGCUAACUACGUGCCAGCAGCCGCGGUAAUACGUAGGGUGCGAGCGUUAAUCGGAAUUACUGGGCGUAAAGCGAGCGCAGACGGUUACUUAAGCAGGAUGUGAAAUCCCCGGGCUCAACCUGGGAACUGCGUUCUGAACUGGGUGACUAGAGUGUGUCAGAGGGAGGUAGAAUUCCACGUGUAGCAGUGAAAUGCGUAGAGAUGUGGAGGAAUACCGAUGGCGAAGGCAGCCUCCUGGGAUAACACUGACGUUCAUGCUCGAAAGCGUGGGUAGCAAACAGGAUUAGAUACCCUGGUAGUCCACGCCCUAAACGAUGUCAAUUAGCUGUUGGGCAACUUGAUUGCUUAGUAGCGUAGCUAACGCGUGAAAUUGACCGCCUGGGGAGUACGGUCGCAAGAUUAAAACUCAAAGGAAUUGACGGGGACCCGCACAAGCGGUGGAUGAUGUGGAUUAAUUCGAUGCAACGCGAAGAACCUUACCUGGGUUUGACAUGCACCAGACGGUUGUAGAGAUACGUACCUCCCUUUGUGGUUGGUGUGCAGGUGGUGCAUGGUUGUCGUCAGCUCGUGUCGUGAGAUGUUGGGUUAAGUCCCGCAACGAGCGCAACCCUUGUCUUAUGUUGCCAGCACUUUGGGUGGGGACUCAUGAGAGACUGCCGGGGUUAACUCGGAGGAAGGUGGGGAUGACGUCAAAUCAUCAUGCCCUUUAUGCCCAGGGCUUCACACAUGCUACAAUGGUUAGUACAACGCGCAGCAAACCUGUGAGGGUGAGCGAAUCGCUGAAAGCUAAUCUCAGUUCGGAUUGGGGUCUGCAACUCGACCCCAUGAAGUCGGAGUCGCUAGUAAUCGCAGAUCAGCAAUGCUGCGGUGAAUACGUUCCCGGGCCUUGCACACACCGCCCGUC
rnacentral:rRNA from 1 species